GCAGUGGUAGCUCAGGGGUUAAGAUGUUGGCCUAACAAGCAGAAGGUCAUGAGUGCAAAUCCCAACACUGCC